AUGCAAGUCGAGCGCCCCGCAAGGGGAGCGGCAGACGGGUGAGUAACGCGUGGGAAUCUACCCAUCCCUACGGAACAACUCCGGGAAACUGGAGCUAAUACCGUAUACGCCCUUAGGGGGAAAGAUUUAUCGGGGAUGGAUGAGCCCGCGUUGGAUUAGCUAGUUGGUAGGGUAAUGGCCUACCAAGGCAACGAUGAGUAGCUGGUCUGAGAGGAUGAUCAGCCACACUGGAACUGAAACACGGUCCAGACUCCUACGGGAGGCAGCAGUGGGGAAUAUUGCGCAAUGGGCGAAAGCCUGACGCAGCAACGCCGUGUGAGGGAUGAAGGCUUUCGGGUCGUAAACCUCUGUCAGAAGGGAAGAACGGGCAUUGGUCUAAUAGGCCUUUGUUUUGACGGUACCUUCAGAGGAAGCACCGGCUA
rnacentral:rRNA from 1 species